UAGGCUCGUGGCGGCGUGCUAUACAUGCAAGUCGAACGCUUUGUGGUUCAACUGAUUUGAAGAGCUUGCUCAGAUAUGACGAUGGACAUUGCAAAGAGUGGCGAACGGGUGAGUAACACGUGGGAAACCUACCUCUUAGCAGGGGAUAACAUUUGGAAACAGAUGCUAAUACCGUAUAACAAUGACAACCGCAUGGUUGUUAUUUAAAAGAUGGUUCUGCUAUCACUAAGAGAUGGUCCCGCGGUGCAUUAGCUAGUUGGUAAGGUAAUGGCUUACCAAGGCGAUGAUGCAUAGCCGAGUUGAGAGACUGAUCGGCCACAAUGGGACUGAGACACGGCCCAUACUCCUACGGGAGGCAGCAGUAGGGAAUCUUCCACAAUGGGCGAAAGCCUGAUGGAGCAACGCCGCGUGUGUGAUGAAGGGUUUCGGCUCGUAAAACACUGUUGUAAGAGAAGAAUGACAUUGAGAGUAACUGUUCAAUGUGUGACGGUAUCUUACCAGAAAGGAACGGCUAAAUACGUGCCAGCAGCCGCGGUAAUACGUAUGUUCCAAGCGUUAUCCGGAUUUAUUGGGCGUAAAGCGAGCGCAGACGGUUAUUUAAGUCUGAAGUGAAAGCCCUCAGCUCAACUGAGGAAUUGCUUUGGAAACUGGAUGACUUGAGUGCAGUAGAGGAAAGUGGAACUCCAUGUGUAGCGGUGAAAUGCGUAGAUAUAUGGAAGAACACCAGUGGCGAAGGCGGCUUUCUGGACUGUAACUGACGUUGAGGCUCGAAAGUGUGGGUAGCAAACAGGAUUAGAUACCCUGGUAGUCCACACCGUAAACGAUGAGUGCUAGGUGUUUGAGGGUUUCCGCCCUUAAGUGCCGCAGCUAACGCAUUAAGCACUCCGCCUGGGGAGUACGACCGCAAGGUUGAAACUCAAAGGAAUUGACGGGGACCCGCACAAGCGGUGGAGCAUGUGGUUUAAUUCGAAGCAACGCGAAGAACCUUACCAGGUCUUGACAUCCCUUGACAACUCCAGAGAUGGAGCGUUCCCUUCGGGGACAAGGUGACAGGUGGUGCAUGGUUGUCGUCAGCUCGUGUCGUGAGAUGUUGGGUUAAGUCCCGCAACGAGCGCAACCCUUAUUACUAGUUGCCAGCAUUCAGUUGGGCACUCUAGUGAGACUGCCGGUGACAAACCGGAGGAAGGUGGGGAUGACGUCAAAUCAUCAUGCCCCUUAUGACCUGGGCUACACACGUGCUACAAUGGCGUAUACAACGAGUUGCCAACCCGCGAGGGUGAGCUAAUCUCUUAAAGUACGUCUCAGUUCGGAUUGUAGGCUGCAACUCGCCUACAUGAAGUCGGAAUCGCUAGUAAUCGCGGAUCAGCACGCCGCGGUGAAUACGUUCCCGGGUCUUGUACACACCGCCCGUCACACCAUGAGAGUUUGUAACACCCAAAGCCGGUGGGGUAACCUUCGGGAGCCAGCCGUCUAAGUGAACAGGAGUUGG
rnacentral:rRNA from 1 species